UACGGAGGGGGCUAGCGUUGUUCGGAAUUACUGGGCGUAAAGGGCUCGUAGGUGGCCAACUAAGUCAGACGUGAAAUCCCUCGGCUUAACCGGGGAACUGCGUCUGAUACUGGAUGGCUUGAGUUUGGGAGAGGGACGCGGAAUUCCAGGUGUAGCGGUGAAAUGCGUAGGUAUCUGGAGGAACACCGGUGGCGAAGGCGGCGUCCUGGACCAACACUGACACUGAGGAGCGAAAGCCAGGGGAGCAAACGGG
rnacentral:rRNA from 1 species